GCGGGUAUAGUUCAGUUGGUGGAACACCUCCUUGCCAAGGAGGAUGUCGCGCGUUCGAGUCGCGUUACCCGCU
rnacentral:tRNA from 1 species